rnacentral:rRNA from 1 species
GAUGAACGCUAGCGGCAGGCUUAACACAUGCAAGUCGAGGGGCAGCGCGGUGUAGCAAUACACUGGCGGCGACCGGCGGAAGGGUGCGUAACGCGUGAGCAACUUGCCCGUGACAGGGGGAUAACCGGUGGAAACGCCGCCUAAGACCCCGUAACAACAUCUCCCGCAUGGGGAAUGUUUGAAAUCUUCGGAGGUCACGGAUGGGCUCGCGUGGCAUUAGCCAGUUGGCGGGGUAACGGCCCACCAAAGCGACGAUGCCUAGGGGUUCUGAGAGGAAGGUCCCCCACACUGGAACUGAGACACGGUCCAGACUCCUACGGGAGGCAGCAGUGAGGAAUAUUGGACAAUGGAGGAAACUCUGAUCCAGCCAUGCCGCGUGAAGGAAGUAGGCCCUAUGGGUCGUGAACUUCUUUUGGCGCAGAGCAAUAAGGGCCACGCGUGGUCCGAUGAGAGUAUGCGUCGAAUAAGCAUCGGCUAACUCCGUG